UCGCCGCCGCCCCUCCGUCUCCCUCCCGCAGACCUCGCCGCCGGCCAUGGCCCCUAUAGCCGUCGCCCCCAUCCUCUCCCCUCCCCUCAUCAGACGAGGAAGACAAGUUGGAUGGAGGGAGAUCGACCGAGACGGCCAGGCCAGGUCAGGCGGCGGCGCCCAGAUUCGCCAUGGGCGUCAGCUUCUUCCUCGACUUGGAGCUCAAUCGCCUUCUUCUCUCCCGCCAUGGAGCCCGCCUCCUCGGGUCGAGCUGCUCCCACCAUGGAAAUGGAGGGCCUUCUUCUAUCCCGCCCGCCAUGGAGCCGCCGCUUCAUGGAAGGAAGGCCUGGAGCUCGUCGAGCUUCUUCUUCAACCUGGAGCUCCAUCCCCACAGUCACCGUCCACAUUGCUGCUCCGACCUUGACGUCAUGGAAGGUCCCCUCCCAUCUCUCGCACAUCUCGUCUCUGUGUUGGGUUCCCCAAAGGGACAUCCUUUGUGGUAGCAAGUUGCAGCAGGAGAAGGAAUCACGUCCUGCAGUCUCCUAGGCUUGUUCCUGUACAGUGGCAACACAUUUUUUUUUGAACACUUUGUUUUUGUUUGCAAGAUGCAUGCUCGUAUGCCACUCUAUCGAUAAUGUCACCAAAACCCCCAUCAACAAUAAGUCUAAUCGGGAUUUGCGGGUGACUCGCAUUGUUUGGGAGAGAUCAGUAGUUAAAUGCCUAGUUUUAGAGCUCUCGGGGUAAACAGGAUGAUUCGUGUAACCCCAGAGGGUUAUGUUGACUUAUUCCUCAGGCCAACUUUAAUUCAAAGUAUUUUCAUGAGA